CACGCCGCGGUGAAUACGUUCCCGGGCCUUGUACACACCGCCCGUCACACCACGAGAGUUUGUAACACCCGAAGUCGGUGAGGUAACCUUUUUGGAGCCAGCCGCCUAAGGUGGGAUAGAUGAUUGGGGUGAAGUCGUAACAAGGUAGCCGUAUCGGAAGGUGCGGCUGGAUCACCUCCUUUCUAAGGAA
rnacentral:rRNA from 1 species